rnacentral:misc_RNA from 1 species
CGACUUGUUUUAGGGGAGUAGCUAAUCUUGUUUUGCUGUUAUGGCACACAAGAUGUCUGUAUCAACAUAAUUGGCCUCAUGCCAUGGUGCAGACAGUAACACACUGUAUAUCAGUGAUUUACCAAGCGAGACCUAAGCACAGUAA